UACAUCGGAACGUGUCCUGUAGUGGGGGAUAGCCCGGCGAAAGCCGGAUUAAUACCGCAUACGCUCUACGGAGGAAAGGGGGGGAUCUUAGGACCUCUCGCUGUAGGGGCGGCCGAUGGCAGAUUAGCUAGUUGGUGGGGUAAAGGCCUACCAAGGCGACGAUCUGUAGCUGGUCUGAGAGGACGACCAGCCACACUGGGACUGAGACACGGCCCAGACUCCUACGGGAGGCAGCAGUGGGGAAUUUUGGACAAUGGGCGCAAGCCUGAUCCAGCAAUGCCGCGUGUGUGAAGAAGGCCUUCGGGUUGUAAAGCACUUUUGUCCGGAAAGAAAACCGCCUGGCUAAUAUCCGGGCGGGAUGACGGUACCGGAAGAAUAAGCACCGGCUAACUACGUGCCAGCAGCCGCGGUAAUACGUAGGGUGCAAGCGUUAAUCGGAAUUACUGGGCGUAAAGCGUGCGCAGGCGGUCCGCUAAGACAGAUGUGAAAUCCCCGGGCUUAACCUGGGAACUGCAUUUGUGACUGGCGGGCUAGAGUAUGGCAGAGGGGGGUAGAACUCCACGUGUAGCAGUGAAAUGCGUAGAGAUGUGGAGGAAUACCGAUGGCGAAGGCAGCCCCCUGGGCCAAUACUGACGCUCAUGCACGAAAGCGUGGGGAGCA
rnacentral:rRNA from 1 species